CUGAGACAGGUGCUGCAUGGCUGUCGUCAGCUCGUGUUGUGAAAUGUUGGGUUAAGUCCCGCAACGAGCGCAACCCUUAUCCUUGUUUGCCAGCGAGUAAUGUCGGGAACUCCAGGGAGACUGCCGGGGAUAAACCGGAGGAAGGUGGGGACGACGUCAAGUCAUCAUGGCCCUUACGAGUAGGGCUACACACGUGCUACAAUGGCGCAUACAGAGGGC
rnacentral:rRNA from 1 species